UUUAGGUAUCUUACCUUGAUAAGCAUAACUUGUUAAUUUUGUAAUUACGUAAGUUUUAAAAUGAUUAAUUUUAGGUUGAUAUUUAUAUUGCAAAUAAUAACAGUAAUUGUAACAGCUGUGAUGUUGGCGGUGCACAAACGGAAGUGAACUUGUUAUCGCGUUAUCAUGGGGAAAUUGCACAAACCGAAUGUGUGGAGCAAAUUUGCGCGACAACCAGCCGCUGAUAACAAAAACAAACCAUAGAUGUCAAAAGUCAAACGAUGAUGGUAUUGACAGAAGACAGUUUUCUAAUUUAAAUUUAAAAUAAUCUGAAUGAUACAAGUACUUUAUAAAAAUGAUUAAAUAAGCAAUGUAUUUUUUUAUAAUAUUACUAAAUACUAAUUGAAACUGAA